rnacentral:rRNA from 1 species
CAGGCCCGCAAGGGUGCUGACGAGUGGCGGACGGGUGAGGAAUACAUCGGAAUCUGCCCGGUUGUGGGGGAUAACGUAGGGAAACUUACGCUAAUACCGCAUACGACCGAAAGGUGAAAGCGUGGGAUCCGCAAGGACCUCGCGCAGCCGGAUGAGCCGAUGUCGGAUUAGCUAGUUGGCGGGGUAAAGGCCCACCAAGGCGACGAUCCGUAGCUGGUCUGAGAGGAUGAUCAGCCACACUGGGACUGAGACACGGCCCAGGCUCCUACGGGAGGCAGCAGUGGGGAAUAUUGGACAAUGGGGGCAACCCUGAUCCAGCAAUGCCGCGUGUGUGAAGAAGGCCUUCGGG